rnacentral:miRNA from 1 species
CGGGGCAGCUCAGUACAAGACG